CUAUAACAUUGCAUGCAGUUGUCGAUCUGACUUGGAAAAAAGAUUCGGAUAGAAAACACCACAAUGAAGACUUGGAGUUUGUUGUGUUUGCUUUUUGCUAUUCAUCUUUUUCUAUCGCCUUCGGCAGCUCAAGAGGUCAAAGCAGUCAAAGCUACAAAGAGGGCACCUUGGGAUGGAAGAUGUGUCCCCAAAGGUGUCCUCUGCAACCCUUUUAACAGCGGCCGAUGUUGUGGCGAUAAUGCUUGUUACUUUCUUCUUAUCCAUUUCUUUUGCGUCUAAACGAUGAAAAGAAAACACAGAAAGGGCAAAACCUUAUUAAAUAAAAAAUUUAGUCCAGUUAA